GAUGAACGCUGCCCGCCUUCUUAACACAUGCAAGUCAACUUGAAUUUGGGUUUUUAACUUAGGUUUGGGUGGCGGACGGGUGAGUAACGCGUAAAGAACUUGCCUCACAGCUAGGGACAACAUUUGGAAACGAAUGCUAAUACCUAAUAUUAUGAUAAUAGGGCAUCCUAUAAUUAUGAAAGCUAUAAGCGCUGUGAGAGAGCUUUGCGUCCCAUUAGCUAGUUGGAGAGGUAACGGCUCACCAAGGCGAUGAUGGGUAGCCGGCCUGAGAGGGUGAUCGGCCACAAGGGGACUGAGACACGGCCCUUACUCCUACGGGAGGCAGCAGUGGGGAAUAUUGGACAAUGGACCGAGAGUCUGAUCCAGCAAUUCUGUGUGCACGAUGAAGGUUUUCGGAAUGUAAAGUGCUUUCAGUUGGGAAGAAACAAAUGACGGUACCAACAGAAGAAGGGACGGCGAAAUACGG
rnacentral:rRNA from 1 species